GAUGAACGCUGGCGGCGUGCCUAAUACAUGCAAGUCGAGCGAACAGAUGAGGAGCUUGCUCCUCUGACGUUAGCGGCGGACGGGUGAGUAACACGUGGAUAACCUACCUAUAAGACUGGGAUAACUUCGGGAAACCGGAGCUAAUACCGGAUAAUAUAUUGAACCGCAUGGUUCAAUAGUAAAAGACGGUUUUGCUGUCACUUAUAGAUGGAUCCGCGCCGCAUUAGCUAGUUGGUAAGGUAACGGCUUACCAAGGCAACGAUGCGUAGCCGACCUGAGAGGGUGAUCGGCCACACUGGAACUGAGACACGAUCCAGACUCCUACGGGAGGCAGCAGUAGGGAAUCUUCCUCAAUGGGCGAAGGCCUGACGGAGCAACGCCGCGUGAGUGAUGAUGGUCUUCGGAUCGUAAAACUCUGUUAUUAGGGAAGAACAAAUGUGUAAGUAACUAUGCACGUCUUGACGGUACCUGAUCAGAAAGCCACGGCUAACUACGUG
rnacentral:rRNA from 1 species